AUGAGGUUCCAAAAUUUCCCAAGGAUGAGACAAUCACAUCAACAUCCCUGCUCUGGUCCAGCAGUAGAGACAAGGGAGUCAAAUGCACUUGGUCACUACCCUAUAAAUGUGCCUCAAGACACCAUGCAGCUGUGUUGGAAGGACCCAUCUGAGCAGCUGAAGUCUCCUAUUUCCCUGGUCUUCGUGGCUCAGGGAACAAGUAAGAGAUGUUCAGCACCUCCUGGGAACCCCUCUGAAAGGCCCCCAGAUGUGGAAGUGCCACAGGUCAACUGGUCCUCUGUGUAUUCACCUGGCAUCCCUUGGGAAGAGGGCUGCUCCCCUCUCAGCAUUGGUUGCAGAAGAGUUUUGGUUUCUUUGCGCCCCAGCGUUGUGUCAGUGCAGUCAGCACAGCUCUGCUUGCAGCACCGUGUUUCUUCCCUAUGUUUCCUUUAAAACCAAGGACAGCAAGGC
rnacentral:lncRNA from 1 species